rnacentral:ncRNA from 1 species
CAUAUUUAAUUUAACCUAAACUAGUACUAUGUAGUAGAGAAUACGUGCCCGAGAACACACUCUAAGCUUUUGCUUGGCUUCCAUGAAGUUUUCCUUCAGCGAUAUUAAUCUAGUUACAGAAAUGGGAUACAUCAACUUGGCGGUUUGGGCGUAGGGCCGGUUGAAGCUUCCAUUGGUGUAGAUCUUGGUGAUAGUAGCAAAUAUUCAAGUGAGAUCCUUGAUGAUUGAAGUGGACAAGGAUUCCACGUGAACAGCGGUUGAAUAUGGGUUAGUCGAACUUAAGAUAUUGACUAAUGCGGAUGCGGAUUAUUGAGAACAGAAUUUCAAAUCCAUCUCGGCA